GUUAGCGGCGGACGGGUGAGUAACACGUGGGUAACCUGCCUGUAAGACUGGGAUAACUCCGGGAAACCGGGGCUAAUACCGGAUGCUUGAUUGAACCGCAUGGUUCAAUUAUAAAAGGUGGCUUUUAGCUACCACUUACAGAUGGACCCGCGGCGCAUUAGCUAGUUGGUGAGGUAACGGCUCACCAAGGCAACGAUGCGUAGCCGACCUGAGAGGGUGAUCGGCCACACUGGGACUGAGACACGGCCCAGACUCCUACGGGAGGCAGCAGUAGGGAAUCUUCCGCAAUGGACGAAAGUCUGACGGAGCAACGCCGCGUGAGUGAUGAAGGUUUUCGGAUCGUAAAACUCUGUUGUUAGGGAAGAACAAGUACCGUUCGAAUAGGGCGGUACCUUGACGGUACCUAACCAGAAAGCCACGGCUAACUACGUGCCAGCAGCCGCGGUAAUACGUAGGUGGCAAGCGUUGUCCGGAAUUAUUGGGCGUAAAGCGCGCGCAGGCGGUUUCUUAAGUCUGAUGUGAAAGCCCCCGGCUCAACCGGGGAGGGUCAUUGGAAACUGGGGAACUUGAGUGCAGAAGAGGAGAGUGGAAUUCCACGUGUAGCGGUGAAAUGCGUAGAGAUGUGGAGGAACACCAGUGGCGAAGGCGACUCUCUGGUCUGUAACUGACGCUGAGGCGCGAAAGCGUGGGGAGCGAACAGGAUUAGAUACCCUGGUAGUCCACGCCGUAAACGAUGAGUGCUAAGUGUUAGAGGGUUUCCGCCCUUUAGUGCUGCAGCAAACGCAUUAAGCACUCCGCCUGGGGAGUACGGUCGCAAGACUGAAACUCAAAGGAAUUGACGGGGGCCCGCACAAGCGGUGGAGCAUGUGGUUUAAUUCGAAGCAACGCGAAGAACCUUACCAGGUCUUGACAUCCUCUGACAACCCUAGAGAUAGGGCUUCCCCUUCGGGGGCAGAGUGACAGGUGGUGCAUGGUUGUCGUCAGCUCGUGUCGUGAGAUGUUGGGUUAAGUCCCGCAACGAGCGCAACCCUUGAUCUUAGUUGCCAGCAUUCAGUUGGGCACUCUAAGGUGACUGCCGGUGACAAACCGGAAGAAGGUGGGGAUGACGUCAAAUCAUCAUGCCCCUUAUGACCUG
rnacentral:rRNA from 1 species